rnacentral:rRNA from 1 species
GCCGGUAUUAAUGGGUUUAAAGGGUCAGUUGUUUGAUAAAUAGGUCCCUUGAGAAAUCCGGCGGCUUAACUUUCAGGCGUUCAGGGGAAACUGGUUUUCUUGGGACCGGGAGAGGUGAGGGGUACUUCCGGGGUAGGAGUGAAAUCCUGUAAUCCCUGUGGGACCACCUAUGGCGAAGGCGUCUCACCAGAACGGGUCCGACAGCGAGGGACGAAAGCUGGGGGCCCAAACCGGAUUAGAUACCCGGGUAGUCCCAGCUGUAAACUAUGUUCUUUAGGUGUGGCAGAGACCACGUGUCACUGAGGUGCUGAAGGGAAACCGUGAAACGCACCGCCUGGGGAGUACGGUCGCAAGGCUGAAACUAAAAGGAAUGGACGGGGGCGCACCACAGCGGGCGAGCUUACGGUUAAUUGGACUCAACGCCGGAAAU